CGCCUACUCGUGGGGACUUCCCGGUGGCCAUCGCUAGCGUAGAAGGGUCGCGAGUUUUGAAGAACCCUCCGUCGCGAGCUUUCCCACCUUUUGUAUGUUUUAGUUCGCGCCCGAGUGUCCGGUAUCGGUUCGUUUUGUUUCGGAAUCCCACCGCCACCUGUGCCUGCCGUCCCCCGGGCCAGGGGGUUGGCAAUCAGGCUGGCGGUCCGAAGGCCCACAGAACGGAACGGCUGGGCGGUCCACAACACCCCACCCCUGGUGCACGGAGGCGCAGCGGCUAAAACUUACGAACGAUCAGCGUGGAGAAACACAUUAUUAUAGCAGCAGCCAAAGCUUGUUACUACUAAUGAAAGAAUUCUAAAAAGCAGUUUUUUGAAUGCCCUCAAGUCACAAAAGAGAAUUUGAUUUCCUCGUGAGGGAUGAUUAUCGCUCGGUUUCGCGCGGGUUCGCUCCGGCAUCGCCUUCUCCGGUCAGCGCGGAAGGGACCGAUCGACCGGUCGAACCUCCGGUUGCCGACGGGACUUCAGCAUGAAUUUGGAAUACGGGUGCUAGUGAAGUGGAACCAACCGGUGAAGAGGCCCCUAUGCAGUGAAUAGUGUGUUGGUGUUCGAUACCAAUUCGAAACUGAAUGUGCUCGAGAAUUAAUUACGCUUUGAGUGUAUUUUGUUUUGGAAGAAUCUAAUAGGAACUGACCCAUAAAUUGUGUAAAGAAAGGUCCUAAUGUGGUGCACUGGAAACUAAAAAGCUGAAUCGAUUUGUGCCAACCAAAAAAAAAACGUACUUGUGUGGAAAAUUUUGUGCCACCCAUUUUGCGAUUUCGCAACGCCCCCAAACCACUCACACUCGGGAAGGUGGAGCAUCGGAUGGGCAAACGGGAGUAGCAGUAAAAAAAAAUCGAUUCAUAUUUUGCGGAGCAGCUCGACCUCAAUAGGCUUUAAAUUGGAUACGUAAAAUGUGCGCGAUGAAAAAUUCCACAGUAGCUGGAAAAUAACACAAAUCCUAGCUAGGAAUUAAUGAAUUACGGAAUAAAGGAUCGUGGUUUAAUAAUUAUAGAACAGCACAGUUUUGUGAAAAACGUUCGGACUCUAUUUGGAUUGAUGUGAUAAAAAUCACACUUUUCUUUAUUUAUGACAAAAGGACAAAUCUUGUGCAAUUCUGUAGUGUGUAAUGAGGAAGAUUUUUGGCCAUUUAUAACGCAUUUUUAUUUGCAAGUUAUUUAUUAUUAUUUUAUAGUUUUCAUGUCGUGAGUGCAUCGCAGAUUAACUCUUCAGAAUGAAAGGAAUGCAGAAUUCGUUAAACUGCAACGAUUGCAACAUAUGUUUGCUUCAACGUUAACCUAGGUUCUAAUUAGAAUUUAAAAUUAAACACUAGACUGAAACUCGAA